rnacentral:miRNA from 1 species
CCAGAGCAGCCUGCGGUAACAGU